rnacentral:lncRNA from 1 species
AUGGGAAAUUUAAAACAGAAUCUUCACUUAUCUCCAGGCCUCAAAUUUCUCCAUAUGUCCCAAAAUGUUUGCUUUCAAGAUUUUCUAGGCUGGACUGGGAUGACAGAGUCUGCUCCUGACCAGCGCAUCAGACUAGAAAUGAUAGCAGGACAGCACAGCCACCACUGUCAGUCCUUCAGCUGCUGGUGGUUCAUAGCACUUCUUUACCCAUGGCCUAUGGAAAUUAAUGCAUCUGGUUUUAUUUCAAAAACAGUAAAGGUUUUGGAUCUUUCCUGCACUGAAAGAGUAACUUCAGGCUUGGUUUAAUGUCCCGAGAGGUGAUUUCUCCACACCCCUCCCUGCCCCCUGCCAUCUCCAUCCCUUCCCCAUGCUCUCUAGAAGCGUUCUUUAUGGUUUUCCCACGUCAUCUUCUGCUGUCUGCUGGGGGCUGCUGUGAUUCCCAGCCCAGCUGAGACUGUCUCAGGCCAGCAGAGGCAGAUAAGAAUUAGAUGGCACACGGGAGAGCAUAGAGGAGAGAAUAGGGGUCCAACUCUCAUAGUGGAGGGUAGAUAAUGACACAGAUGAGGAAGAAUCUCUUUGUGGAAGAGGAGGUCAAAGGGCAUGAGCAAUUUGUCUGUUUGAGGGACAAAAACAAAGCUAAAAGGAUUUUGCUAAGUACUGCAAUGCUUCUCAGGUCAGAUAAAUCAGUCCAAGGUAGGCAGAUUCUAGAAAAUCCAAAACUUGCAGCACCCAUUUCAAUGGGGCACUGCAGACUUAAGCACCAUCGUGAGCAAACCAGAACACUGGAGGUCUAAAAGAAAGGUAGACAUGGUCUCUGCUUCUUCCCUCAAGGAGAUGCAGCAAAAAUGUAUUUCCUUAUCAUUCACACUUUCAGCUCUAAAGACAGUCAUAGGAAUCUAUUUCCUUCAUUUUAUGCUGCUUCUCCCACUGUCUUUAUCUUUUCUUUUCCUCUGUAAGCCCAAUCUAUUGUUUUCACUUGAGGUCCAGAUCUGAUGACUUGUUUGCUUUCAUUGUCAAGUAUUGCUUUCUGUUUCACUACUGGUAUCCUUCACUUGUACUUUGAAACAAAGGCGCUAUGCAAACAGAGAACAAACCAUGUCCUACAGCAAAGCAUUUAAGGCUCUUUUGUGUGUUAUCAUGAAUUGUCUUCUAUCAUCCUAUAUUGUUGACUAACUGUGAAACUUUGUACUCUCUGCUAUCCACUGGAUUUGGGGAUCCAGAACAUUUUUUUAAAAAUCACAUUAAAGGCUUUUCCAACCAAAAAUCUUAAUCCCCACAUUUUUAUGCCAAGGUCCAAAGUUUGAUG